CAUCGUGAAGAGACAAUAGCAACCCAAGAAGUGCUCAAAAUACAAAGUUCAAACAUUGCUCAGAGUGAGUUAAGUGCUCACGGAAGAGAUGAGUUUUCAGUUGUCUUUUAAAUGCUGUCAGGGAUUCUGCAUUACGGACGAGGGUGGGGAGAUCAUUCCACCAGCAUGGAACCGUGAAUGAGAAUGUUCUGGAGAGUGAUUUUGUGGCUCUUUGUGAAGGUACCACGAGCCGUCGCUCAUUGAUUGAUCG